UACAGAGGUCUCAAGCGUUGUUCGGAUUCAUUGGGCGUAAAGGGUGCGUAGGUGGCGCCGUAAGUCGGGUGUGAAAUUUCGAGGCUUAACCUCGAAACUGCAUUCGAUACUGCGGUGCUUGAGGACUGGAGAGGAGACUGGAAUUCAUGGUGUAGCAGUGAAAUGCGUAGAUAUCAGGAGGAACACCGAUGGCGAAGGCAGGUCUCUGGGCUGAAACUGACGCUCAUGCACGAAAGCGUGGGGAGCAAACAGG
rnacentral:rRNA from 1 species